GAAUUGGAAAUUGGUAGGAAUUCAAAAUAUCACGACCAUAAUAUUGUGAACCCCCCUAUCCAAAGGGUAUUGGAAAUAGGUAGGGGGUUAGACACAUCGCAGCCAUAACAUUUUGAACCCGGAUUCAAUGUGUUAUGGGGGAGGGUCAAUAUAUCGCAGCGAUAUUUUUAACCCGGAUUCAAUAUACCGCGGGGUUCAAAAUAUUAUAUGACAGGGGAUCGGGUUAAGGUACUGUGAAUACUAAUAUACAUUUAUCACGUUAUUUAAGUAUGUACAUCCAUGUCAUAACUAUGUCGCAUGUAUGUACUACAUGUGUGAUGGACCUUUGCUUUAUCAGACACAUGAAAAUUAAACAGAAAUGAAAUU
rnacentral:sRNA from 1 species